UUAUCUUGAUGGCUGAGAGGUGAAAACAAUCCAGUCUUGCUGAUAGGAACCCAGUCAGCGGGGAUUCUGAGGCUGACUUUCACUGUGGAGCUCCAUUCUUCUCUGGAAUCGCUGCUGUUUUGGCGGGACCCCAGUGUCUUCCUUGCUAACUCCAGCUGAGAAAUCCCGAUUUCUCACUUUUCUGGGCUAACAGCAAGGUUGAAAAAAAGAAACUUGAUCAGUACGAUCUCAGGACAGAAAGAUCUCAAGACCUAUAUUUCCUUUUAGUGUUAGCACAAUCUGAGGUUUUUAGGAGAGCUGUCAAUCUCUUCUUAAUACGUUCAAGUCCUUUGGAGGAAAGCCCACGCCAAAGGGAAAAACCACAGGGGAAAAUUUCUGGAGCUGAUUAUAGAGAAGGCUGCAAAGGUGAUGACCUUGACCCUUUCACUAAGAAAAAAGAAACGAUAAGAACAGAAACAUCUGUAUCCUCCCAGGACACGCAGG